GGGCUGGCUCUCACCCCCAUGAGGGACUGUGAGAACCUUCCUGUCAGGAUAAGGCAACAAGACCACAUUGCUACGAAGCCAGCAGGGAACAGAACAUGCGAUAAACAGUCACAGAGAGGGCCACUGCCUACAGUUCCUGUCACAGCCACACCCAGAGGGCCCUCUCCUCUGAGCAUCCACUCUUUACCAUCAUGUCCAGCAAACACACACUGUCUCAGUGGUUUAUCAAACCCCACCGAAUGUGCCUCAGAUUCGUGCGUUUCUUCAGAUAUCGCGUGUGGGGGUCACACGACUGUGAUUCCAGUGCUCAGGAGGCUGAGGCAGGACGAUUGCUGGGAGCUCAAGGCCAGCCUGGGCUAUGUAGUGAGUUCAAGACCAGCCUGCACUCCAAACAUUGCUUGCAACUUUCAAUAAUGAAUAUGAACUGGUUUUCACAAAAGCAACAAAAUAAUUUUCAAAAUAUCUGCCUGUACUAGGUCAUUCCAAUGAAAAUAUUUGUUUCUGACCAUCGCAGAGAUAUGGAUAAAUAACUUUUGGGACUCUGGUUAAAGAUGCUCUGAGGACAAGACGACCCCAAAGAUCAAAGCUACUGGCUGGGGUUCACUUUUUUUUACAUCUGCCUUCUCAGGAAGGUCUCUUCCUUCUGUGAGCCCCAAGGCUCUGAGGCCGGACUCGGGGUGUCUGGAAGGACUGCCCAAUUGAUGUACUUCUCUGCUUCAGUUCGCAUCUCUCAGAGUCCAGGUCCAGCUCUUAGGCAUGACCACGUAAGUAAGGAGAAUAAAAAUCAUUUCAAUGGCCACUGCUUGUGGAACAUCAAGUGCACAUUAGAUACUCUAUCUUGUUUACUCCUUACAGGAGUCCUCCCAAGUAAAUACUGCUAAGCUAAUUUUCUGAAGUUAAACAGAUUUCAGGGGUUAAUUCCUCAGUGUAGAGUCAGGAAACCAAAGCAGGUCAGUCAGACUAUUGCAUCCCAGCUGCUUCCCAUGAGCAUCCAGUGUGUCCAAACCAAAGAUGUGGUCAUCCUUUCCUGUGAGUCCAGUCCUGAUGAAGGUCACGGUCGCAGCACAGCCAAACCCAGACCUAGUGGCCUCUAGGUCCUCCCCUCCCCAGGUCCUGCCAACCUCGCCUCCAAAUGGCCCUAAAAUCUUCCCCCUGCUUAUCUCUUCUAUCCCGUGCCUUCCUUUCUCCAGCCUCUCCUCUCACAGGCCGGCUUUUGUCCAGGAGAAUUAUAUUAAAACACAGCACUGGUUCUGGGGCUUCCUAACCUGGUCUGCAAAGUGUCGUGAGUGAAAUUUAAACUCAUAAAUCGGCCCUCGAAGAGUUCAUCCUCUCUAGUGAUAGCCCAGAGCUCCUGCUUUGCUGCCUACACACGGAAUUCCCUCUGUUCCUGAGACACUCAGGCUCUAGAAGAUACCCACACGACUUUGCCCCUCCUAUUUCCUUGUCUCAAAUGGGGUGCCUUUCUCUUUCUCAGGUAAAAGCUGCUUCUUCCCAAACCUUCCCUGACUUGCCCACCCUGAGCAGUCUGCAGUCUUCUCUUUGUUCCUAAUUGCUUCAUGUUCUGUGAAAGUCUUAUCACAAUGUGUGGCAGUGACUUUUCCUGCCCUGCAUUUCUUCCUAGACAGCGAAGGUGAGCUCAUUCAUUCAUGCCUUCAGUGAAUAUUUACUGCAUACACACUAUGUUCCAGGCAAUGGGCUCGGAGCUAAGGAUACAAUGCUGGUGAAAUUAGCAUGUCACCAUCAUCUGGGAGCUUAUUAUCAGAGGGGACAGAAAUUAUUCAGAGAAAAAUUCAAACAUUCCAUUUCAAACUGUGAUAGAUUUACAAAGAAGAAGUAGUUUGGAGGUGCCAAGGAAGCCUUCCUUAGCAAAGUGACAUUUGACCAGAGACAGCUUCUGAUUAAACCAGAGGUCAUUAGGUAAAGAGGAAGAGCAUUCCAUGUAGGAAUAGCAUUGCCAAGCCUCAAAAGGGGGAGGAAUGCGCUGUGAAGGAAAGUCAGUGUUCACAGUGAGGAGGAGCAGCCCCAGAAGAGGCAGGGGAGGUGGGUGGGACCCAGGGUCUCAUAAAGAUUCAAGUGCUCACUCCAAGAGCAGAAUGAAGUCCCUGAUGACACAGUUGCAGAUUUGCAUUUCAGAUUCUCUGGCUGCUGUGUUGGUGGAGAUGUAAACUGGGUGAGAGACUGGUUUGGAGGCUGCUGAGGGAGCUGGUCGAGGGUCUCUCCCCCAUGCCUGGAUUCGAACCUUUUUCAUGUAAGUCAGCCACAGCAUGCAACUCAGGAACUGGCCCACACCAGCUCAAGUCAUUGCCUAGAAAUAACCUGCAAAUGAUCAAAGAGCAAAACAUGGUACAAAAUGGUCCCUAAAAAGGCGACCUUUUGGCUUGUUGGAAAGAUCAGAUACAGCAGGGAAGAAAGGGCCUCCCAGUCCUCAGAACCUGAAGGACAGCCAAAGUGCUCAAGUCUCCACAAAGUUCUGAUAAGAAUCUUCCCCAUCUCCCAAAGGAACAGCCAAGAAGCCUCAGAAGAGACUCGAGCUUUCCUCAUGAGCUCAUAUGUGCUUUUGAAUUUGGAGUGCUUUCUGGACAGCGCUCACAGUGCUCCCAAAGCCUUUGCACUGAGCCCUGGAAGCAGAGGAGCUCCCAGGAAGUAAGAGAAGAGAGUUACCACUCUGCAGACAGCGAUGUAACCGCUGUCCACCUCAAAUCUCCAGCUCUGUGCAGUGCACCAUGCAGCACACAAUACAAGAAGGCUGCCAAGACAGUCUCAUAACCUCAGUGACAAAAAUCGACAGGAAUGUCAGAUUCCUGCUGGAGUGAAAAUGAGUGAAAUAGUUCCCAUGACUGUCCCCCUCUCUUUUUUGUUGUACUGGGAGUGGAAUCCAGUGGUGCUCUACCCGAGUUACAACUCCAGCCCCUUGAAAAGAUUUUGUCCUAUUUUGAGACAGGGUCUCACUAGUUGCCCUGGCUGAGUUUAAAUUUUCCAUCCUUUUGCCUCAGUCUCUCUAGUAAGCAGCUGGGGUUAUAGUCAUGAGGCUGUUGCCUGGCUGGCUCUAUUUUAUAGAUGAGCAAAGUGGGGUGCCAAGAGUGUAAGAAACUGGCUCAAGGUUAUGCAGCAGUAAAUGAUGACGCUUGGGCUCUGAAUUCAAGAAUCUACUUCCUAGAGCUGAGAGCAACUGGGAAGGAGUGUGGAGUUGGGAAACACGUACCAUAGUUAAUUUUGUUCUCUUUUUCUUUCUUUUAUUUUUUUUUUUAAUUUGGUGCUCAUAGAAGCCAAAUUCAUUUAUCCGCUAAUUUUGCUUCUAAGAUUCAGCUCAUUCCCUAUUUGUACUGGACAGUGAGGUUUUGCUGCAAGUAAAAUUUUGUAAGCUAAGUUUGUAGUGUGUAUAUACAUUUAAAUGGGAAGACUUUUUAAUCAAUUGUACUUAUAGGACAGUAUCUCAUGGAAAGAUAUACAAUUCUAUAAAGAUACACGAAUGAAAAUAUUCAUUAUUUCACUGUUUAUAAUAGAGAAAAAGUGAAAAUAAUAUAAUAUAAACAAGAGAAUUGUUAGGUAGAAAUGGCAACAUGAUAGACACCUAAUCAUGCAACCAAAUCUGCCCUUGGGAAUAGACUUUAAUCUGAGCGUAUGGUCAGCUGUCCAGAGCAGCUGUGUUUCCCAGCUUCCCUUGCUACUGGUUAUGGCCAUGGGAACAUGCCAGCAUCCAUGCAAUUUGAGCUUAAAGAAUGUAUACUCUGCACCCCCACUACCUCCAGCAGGGACCCACAUCUGCCCGCCAGCCAGCUUUGACCCUGGAGCAAAUCUAACACCUUAAGGCAUGGCAAAAAGAUAACAGGGAAGGAAUCAGGGUCCCUGAAUACUUGCAUGCAGCAGAGUUGGCCAGUGUUUGACCGGCUCGCUUUUGAAUUAUUACUCAAGAAUGAUACAGGCUUCCCUCUCAUUACUAUUAAUAUGCUAUUGUAUUCGUGUACUCUAUGUCACAACAAUUUAGAUUUUAUCUUACCUAAUGUAAGAAAGCUACGGAAUACUUUUAAAAGAGGUACUGAUAUAUAGAAUUUGGUAGUACAUAUAAAGAAAGAAGCUGUGACAAGCUUUGUUUUGCCAUAUUUGACUGUAUUCUUCCCCCCCCCCCCAAAAAAAGUAAUAAGCACUAAGGAGUAAUAAAAUCCAAAAUGUGUAAAUUUUGUUGUAAAAAAGAGAGGGAAAAAAAAAAAAAAGAAAAAGAGCUCUAACGGAUAUAACAGCAAGUGAGUUUAGGGGUGUUAAAUAGCUGACUAUAUCAAUGUUUUUGGAUCAUUGAACACAGCUGUUUGCAGUCUCCCUGUUUGAAUGUCCACCUUGUAUUCUUUGAUACUGUGAUUUGAGCAACUAUUUUCAAGAUGAUAAUAUGUAAUCUACUAACAGGUGAUUUCUUACUGUUAUGUUUUUUUUUUGUUUGUUUGUUUGUUUUUUUUUUUUUUGUAGUUCUGUAUUACGUGUACCCUUACACCACUUUGGUUUGUUUUGUGUUUUUCUCUUUUUCCUCUUAAAUAAAAAAAAAAAAAAAAAAAAAAAAAAGAAGCUGUGACAAAAUGAGUUUAUUCCAGCAUCCAGAAAUAAGGGAGCCAGAAUAAAGAGCUUAUUUCCACAUAUGAAAAAUUACUGAAUAGUCCGGGCGUGGUGGCACAUGCCUGUAAUCCCAACACUCAGGAGGCUGGGGCAGAAGGAUUGUUGAGAGUUUGAGACCAGCCUGAGCUAAAAAGUAAGAUAAAGGACAGCCUGAAUUACAUAGUGAGACUCUGUCUCUAAUAAAUUAAUUAAAUGACAUAGCACACUUUUUUCAGUAGAUAUUUAAAGCACAUUUGAUAAAUGUCAACACACAUUUUAAAACU